CUCUUAGAUAAUUACAUUCAAAUAAUAACUUCAUCACAAAACUCAAGAUAAUCUCUAUUUAUCUAAUUAUUAUCCAUAUCUAUACUACCAUAUAUAAAAAGGAUCCAAAGGAUCCUCAAACUUAUACUUGUUCGAUUUUUCUUUCAUUUCCAUAGGUUUUUCCUUCCCAUGGUUUUGAUGGCCGAACAAAAGUGGAGACAGGCUGUGGCCAACAAAAUGCCAUUCACGUGAAGGCGACAUCGUAGGAGCAGUAGUUAAUAAGCAAACAAAAAAGAAUGUACUAGGAGAUAGGAAGAAUCGCCUACAUUGGGAGAUAUUGGGAAUUUGGUAAAUGUUAGAGGAUUGGUUGAUGGCAACCCUCAACCUCAAAUUCACUAUCCUUUCACGAGAUCUUUCUACACAUAGUUAGUUGCCAAUGCACAAGCUGCUACUGCCACUAUCGCAGUGAAAUAAGGUAUUAGGCAUUGCAUCCCUGAACAUAAAAAAGCUUGAGGAUAUAGGUCUUUGCACGGUUAAAUUUGUUGCUUGCACCCCAAGAUCUUCUUUAGAUCAAAGGAAUAAGUGAAGCUAAAGUUUACAAGAUCAUUGAAGUUGCUUCCAAGGUGGUCCCGUUAAAUUUCACCAAUGCUAGCCAGCUCCAUGCUCAGAGAUUCGAGAUAAUUCAGAUAACAUUUGGGUCAAGUGAACUUGAUAAAAUUUUGGAAGGUACAUGUGCUCUGGUAUGUGUGAAGUUUGUUUGACUUUGAUUGUAAACAUUCCUUGGAAGGUUUAUAUGUUGGUGUUAUUUGGAUUUAGGGGUUAUUUGAAUUUGGGGGUUGCAUGUGUACUCUAUUGCAAGGUUUGUACAUUGAUUUUUUUUUAAAUAUUUGUCUAAAAUAUUUAUUGCAUGUUCUAUAGAUGAUAGUCCAUUGGAUUUUUUUUGUAGAUUAGUUUUGUAAUUUUUGUUUAAUUAUUGUUUUUUGUGCAAGUAUUGUUGAAUGUUGUUCUGGAUUUAGUUGAAGGUUAGCGAGUAGUGUAAAUAUGUAGCCUUUCGAUCUGAAUUUCGAUUAUUUUAGUUUUUUUCUGCUAAUUCAACUAGGCUCUCAUGUUCCUAUUGUUAAAGGUGCAAAACCGCUCCUUGGAAGGGAUCCAUUAGUUGGGACACCUAAGCCUUUAAUGGGUUUAAGAAGAAAAGGGGAGAAACGUUUGAAGAAACAAGAUUCUAAGCUACGUAGAAGAGGUUGUUAGGGAAGGGGUCCUAAUGGGAUUGAUGAGAUUUCUUCUCCUUUAGUAUUAAAGCCGGUUCCAUUUGAUUUUGAUCAGUGUACACCAGCGAAAGAGCGGUCUAUUUUAGCGAGAACUCCGAUGAUUUCUCCAAUGAUAACAAGGAUAGAAAAGGAUGGGAAUGCUAAUGCUGGUGUAAGGUGUUCUUUUGGUGGGGGGUUGUUGGCUAAAUUGAUGGAUACCAAAAGAGAAAGUCCUACUUCGCUUAGGAAAAGCUGUAUUGCGUCUUCUUCUGCCUCAAAGUUUCCUCGGAGAAAAAGUGUCUGCGAUCGAGAUCCUAGGAUCCCAAUUAGUUCUCUCAACUCAGCUGUAGGAAAAGAAAAGUUCAAGCCCACCACCAAGUUUAAGGUGUGGACAGGGGGUAAUUGCUUCCCUCAAUAUGGGUGGAGAUGUAUAGAACAACUCCAACCGACCAAGUGUUACUGCACAACAACCAGAAUCUCACUUUGAUAGUAACUCAGCCUUUGAUAAUAGCACAAGUUUACCCAUGACUUUGCUCGGUAAGCUUGGCAUGUUGGGUAAGGAAGCUGUGCUGCAGCGAGAAACAGCUCAGAAGAUUGCUCUUCAAGCACUAAAAGAUGCUUCAGCCACAGAGAGUUUAGUUCGCUCUCUCAAGAUGUUUUCCAAUUUGAGCAAUUCAGCAAAACUCCAUCUGCAUGUUUCGAUCAGUUUCUGGAGUUUCACGCCCAAAUUGUGAAGACCGUGAAUGAUAUAGUAUCCAUUCAAGCGGCUACUAAAAUGGCACAAAACUCAAAAGCUGAACUGAAAUAUCAACAAGGUGAAGAUGAGCCAACAAGAGGUAUCGUAACGAACGACAUAAGCUGGCCAACAAGAGUCCACAUUUUUUAUAUUGUUGUUCACCUCUGUUUUUUUCUUUUAAAUUACCAUACAUUUGGUUUUCUUUCAGAUUAUCCUUUUGCAUGUAUUUAUCAGUUUUCUUUGAUUCUUCAGCUCUUUCCUGAUAUUGCUCUCGAGACUGCAGGAAAUUUUUUGGUCCUUCUGUACAGAUGAUUAAAUAAACCUGUUCUGAUAUUUCUAUUCCCUAUUUUAUUAUGUUUUUCUUUUAUACAAACUUACACAUAGGUUUUCACUUUGGCAAUUUUAUUAUCAUAAAAAUGGUGAGAUUCGUUUGGUAUUUGUUUUGUUUUAAUCUGUUUGUAAUUUUUUUUAUUUUUUUGGAUAUGGUUUAUUUCAAAUUGAAUUUUUUUAUAUGAUUUAUUUCAUAAUGAAUGAUUAUGGUUGUACUUUGAGGUUCUAUUGUAUGA